rnacentral:rRNA from 1 species
CCUACGGGGGGCAGCAGUGAGGAAUAUUGGUCAAUGGGCGAGAGCCUGAACCAGCCAAGUCGCGUGAGGGAAGACGGUCCUAUGGAUUGUAAACUUCUUUUAUAUGGGAAUAAAAUGUUCCACGUGUGGGAUUUUGUAUGUACCAUAUGAAUAAGGAUCGGCUAACUCCGUGCCAGCAGCCGCGGUAAUACGGAGGAUCCGAGCGUUAUCCGGAUUUAUUGGGUUUAAAGGGAGCGUAGGUGGAUUGUUAAGUCAGUUGUGAAAGUUUGCGGCUCAACCGUAAAAUUGCAGUUGAAACUGGCAGUCUUGAGUACAGUAGAGGUGGGCGGAAUGCGUGGUGUAGCGGUGAAAUGCUUAGAUAUCACGAAGAACUCCGAUUGCGAAGGCAGCUCACUGGACUGCAACUGACACUGAGGCUCGAAAGUGUGGGUAUCAAACAGGAUUAGAUACCCUAGUAGUC